rnacentral:rRNA from 1 species
ACCGAUAGUGAACCAGUACCGUGAGGGAAAGGCGAAAAGAACCCCGGCGAGGGGAGUGAAAAAGAACCUGAAACCGUGUACGUACAAGCAGUGGGAGCACGCUUAGGCGUGUGACUGCGUACCUUUUGUAUAAUGGGUCAGCGACUUAUAUUCUGUAGCAAGGUUAACCGAAUAGGGGAGCCGAAGGGAAACCGAGUCUUAACUGGGCGUUAAGUUGCAGGGUAUAGACCCGAAACCCGGUGAUCUAGCCAUGGGCAGGUUGAAGGUUGGGUAACACUAACUGGAGGACCGAACCGACUAAUGUUGAAAAAUUAGCGGAUGACUUGUGGCUGGGGGUGAAAGGCCAAUCAAACCGGGAGAUAGCUGGUUCUCCCCGAAAGCUAUUUAGGUAGCGCCUCGUGAAUUCAUCUCCGGGGGUAGAGCACUGUUUCGGCAAGGGGGUCAUCCCGACUUACCAACCCGAUGCAAACUGCGAAUACCGGAGAAUGUUAUCACGGGAGACACACGGCGGGUGCUAACGUCCGUCGUGAAGAGGGAAACAACCCAGACCGCCAGCUAAGGUCCCAAAGUCAUGGUUAAGUGGGAAACGAUGUGGGAAGGCCCAGACAGCCAGGAUGUUGGCUUAGAAGCAGCCAUCAUUUAAAGAAAGCGUAAUAGCUCACUGGUCGAGUCGGCCUGCGCGGAAGAUGUAACGGGGCUAAACCAUGCACCGAAGCUGCGGCAGCGACACUAUGUGUUGUUGGGUAGGGGAGCGUUCUGUAAGCCUGUGAAGGUGUACUGUGAGG